ensembl:lincRNA
UCUUGCAGUUUACAGGAAGCCCACCCUCGGCACUCGAACCCGGAGCCCUGCCCAGCCUGAUGGGAGAUCCCAGCAGGAGUGAGUCUGAUCUUCACCCUGUUCUCUGCUCUCCUUCUGCGUGUGUGUCCACUGGCUCAGUCACUGAGCAGGAGAGAGAGCCCACGAAAUUCCCUGAUGGAAGUUCGGUUCAGAUCAGUGGAAGUCUGCAACUGUCCCUUAAUGAAGGACGGUUUUGUCCCAGAACAACUGAAAAUCUGACGGAGAAUUAACGAGGACACCCUUUCUUGGAUAAUCUCUGUACGCGUUAACCACCAAACCAGACUGUCUCUUCAGUCUGUUUCCUGAAUAAUUAGUUUAUUUGCUUGUUUACCGUGCUGGGGGUUCACUGGAAUGGUGAGUCACUAAACCAGUGUGUCUCUCUGUGUUCGCUGGAAUGGUGAGAGGAGUGGGGUACCAGCCAGGUGGGAGCUGGAGGAGUGGGGUACCAGACAGUUGAAGCCAAGGAACAUUCCUGUGUGACAGUGAACAUGCUCAACCGAGAUCUCUGUGGGAUCCUGAAGGAGGAAAAGUCAAGAGGGAG